rnacentral:lncRNA from 1 species
GGUUUUGGCAAGGAUAAUAAACUCAGUACUAAGGCAGCAACUGGAAUGAAGGUCAGAGAACACCGUCUGGGUUUAAGAAGGCCUUAGUGAAGUAUUCUUCCUCCGUGGCCUCCCCCCCCCCAGCCUCCUUUUGUGUCUGAGAAGCCUGCCCACCCCUUACCAAACUUCCCCAAAUAGUGUGUUUUGAUGGCUACAUGUCCAGCAUCUUGUAUAAAUAGGCAAAACUACCCCCAUUGGAUUUUUAAAAAAAUUAUUAUGCUGAGGGCGAAGGGCUUCUCUACAAAGAACACUGAUUGAGGACAUUUCUCAUCAUAAUUUCCUUGAUUGCUGCAUCCUGGAAGGAUCCCUCGGAGACUCACACAGAGUGAACCAAUCACUGUUUUGUAGUUUCUCUCCUACAUGCUGGUCCUUGAGGCAAAUCCACAGGCUUUUUGGCUUGGGCACAGAAGAGCUGACGUUUACAAAUACAUAGUCAGGAAAGAGGGCAGAAGAUUCUAGGGAUGCUGGGAAAGACCUCCUGCCCAUUCAUCACACAAGGGAUUAUGUUUCUCCCUGCCUUACCACAGCAUCUUCCUGCCUUGGCCUGCCCACAGGCACAGAUACUGAGCUGGCUACAGAACCUGGA